GCCUGGGUGGCUCAGUCGGUUGAGUGUCUGACUCUCGAUUUUGACUCAGGUCACGAUCUCAUGGUUCAGUUUGUGGGUUCAAGCCCCACGUCGGGCU
rnacentral:tRNA from 1 species